rnacentral:rRNA from 1 species
CGGAGGCAGGAAAGGCUUCGGCCGGACAGGGAUGGGCAUGCGGCGCAUUAGGCAGUAGGCGGGGUAACGGCCCACCUAACCGACGAUGCGUAGGGGUUCUGAGAGGAAGGUCCCCCACACUGGUACUGAGACACGGACCAGACUCCUACGGGAGGCAGCAGUGAGGAAUAUUGGUCAAUGGUCGGGAGACUGAACCAGCCAAGCCGCGUGAGGGAGGAAGGUACAGAGUAUCGUAAACCUCUUUUGUCAGGGAACAAAGACUGGGACGCGUCCCCGGAUGAGUGUACCUGAAGAAAAAGCAUCGGCUAACUCCGUGCCAGCAGCCGCGGUAAUACGGAGGAUGCGAGCGUUAUCCGGAUUUAUUGGGUUUAAAGGGUGCGCAGGCGGUCUGUUAAGUCAGCGGUCAAAGCCCGGGGCUCAACCCCGGCCCGCCGUUGAAACUGGCAGUCUCGAGUUGGAGAGAAGUAUGCGGAAUGCGCGGUGUAGCGGUGAAAUGCAUAGAUAUCGCGCAGAACUCCGAUUGCGAAGGCAGCAUGCCGGCUCCACACUGACGCUGAGGCACGAAAGCGUGGGUAUCGAACAGGAUUAGAUACCCUGGUAGUCCACGCAGUAAACGAUGAAUGCUGGCUGUCCGGGGGGACUGACCCCUGGGUGGCGAAG